GCGGACGUGGUGCACGGCGCACCGCUGCACGUAAUGCCAGAAUUCGAUUUUGACAGCAGCUGCAGGGGUUCGACUCCCCGCGUCCGCA